AACGAACGCUGGCGGCGUGCCUAACACAUGCAAGUCGAACGCGAACGGGUCUUCGGACCCUAGUAGAGUGGCGCACGGGUGAGUAACACGUGGGCAAUCUACCCAGGGAUUUGGGAUAACCAGGGGAAACCCUGGCUAAUACCGAAUACGUCCAUGAGGCCUUCGGUCCUCAUGGAGAAAGGUGGCCUCUUCUCGAAAGCUGCCGUUCCUGGAUGAGCCCGCGGACCAUUAGCUUGUUGGUGAGGUAACGGCUCACCAAGGCCAUGAUGGUUAGCUGGUCUGAGAGGAUGAUCAGCCACACUGGGACUGACACACGGCCCAGACUCCUACGGGAGGCAGCAGUGGGGAAUCUUGCGCAAUGGGGGAAACCCUGACGCAGCAACGCCGCGUGGGUGAUGAAGGCCCUUGGGUCGUAAAGCCCUGUCUGGAGGAAAGAACCCCGCUCUCGCUAAUACCGGGAGUGGAUGACGGUACCUCUGAAGGAAGCACC
rnacentral:rRNA from 1 species